CUCCCUCACCUGUUUCCAAGGAACCCUCCAUGAUUCCAGAUGAUAUCCUCCCAUACCAUGGCCAUUACUGACAAAGACCACACACCUCAUGACCCAAUGUUUUUGUUUUAACUCCAUCUGUUGUUCAAGCAGGGGUCUCCAGGUUCUGUCUUGGCAGCCCCCCAAUCUGUGCCAGUCUAGAAACACCAGCAUCCCCAGCGUGAGGAGCACCAGGCCAACCAGACCCAUAUGAAUGAAGUAGUACUAGGAGGAUGAGUUAAAAGGGGAAGAGAAAGAGGAAUUGAUGCAAGAGGAGGUGGAGAAAGAAGAGAAAAGAGAAGACUUUCUGGCUAUCAGCUUGAGCUGGCUUCAUCAUUAAACACCCUGAGACUGAGAGAUAGAGAAGGGAACUUACUCCUUAAAAGAAAAAAAAAACUUUAUUUUCCUCAAUAGAACUUGGGGCUGGAGGCCAGAGUCAACCAGCUGGGAUUCUGGUGCGUCAUGCUUUCAGAAUGUUUUUGACUGCCGGUUGUACACUAGACAUAGAGAGACGGGAAAGAAAACAACCCAAAGAUAAACUCACCGCUGGGAGGAGGGGGGGAGGAGAUGAGAAGAGGGGCGGGGCGACAUUUUAUCCUGAGUACGCUAGGACAGGUCGGGCUUUGGUCAAUGCUGGGGCUGGCUAACUAGCCUUGGGGUACCAAGCUGCUGAGACACUGAAGAGCGGCUUAGCUUUUCCCAGUGUUAGAAUAUUUCAGCUGCCAACCACAAACUCCAUCCUGCAAACCCAGGAGGCUGCAGAAGUUUACUCUACCAAAUUUGACAACUUCCAGGCAGACGAGAUCCCCAGGUCCCCGGGGCCCAGAGACAAAAAGACAACCUCCAGAGCCAGAGAGCCUCAUUCUAUACAACGUUUUACACCCAAAGUCGCCCGGCUCGCUGAAAUCAUGGGAUAUCCGGCUUAAAAUGGUCCCCAGAAAUCACCAAGUUCAGUCUCUUUACUUUUGGGAUGAAAAAACAUAAACGUGGUGUGGUCAGCUGGUUUCUGAACACUCCGCAGCUUGUCCUUACCAGGAGGGAUUCGUCAGUUCGUUCUUUCGCUCGCUGGUUCAGUCCGUCAGUCGGGCAAGCAGGCACCAAGAGCAGCGGUAACAGAGGCGCCCACAGUUCCUCAGAACUGACUCAGCGAGGGCAGAGAAAUUCAAGAAGUUUAGGAGCCAUAACCACAGCAGGAUACCCACAUUUGCCUGCCACAUGUUGACUUCUGAAGAUGGUAUGCCUUAGAGCCAUAACGACGGCACAAAGUGUGCAUCUUAUUCCAGUGCUUACUAAAUGAAGACAUCUGCUUCGUCGUCUUCCUCUUGCUGCUGGGAGCAAAAAGAAGGCUAUUGUGGUUUCUGAAAAUUUGAUAGUCAAAGGAAUGAUUGCCUUUCAAUUAGAAGCUAGUCAAAAUAAAGAUGUAUUUUUUCCCA
rnacentral:lncRNA from 1 species